rnacentral:tRNA from 1 species
CGGGGUGUAGCUCAGCUUGGUAGAGCGCUUGCUUCGGGAGCAAGAGGUCGCAGGUUCGAAUCCUGUCUCCCCGACCA